rnacentral:lncRNA from 13 species
ACUGGACUGGACUGGAGGUGGCCGUCGGGAGUGGGCCCGCUGCCUGCCGCAAGUUUCGCCCGGAGUGGGAAAGUUGGGCGGGACUCGUCCAGGCACAACUUCAGGACAUGCAAGAGUACUUUGGAGUGAACUGGCAGUAAGCCUUGCAGUACCAUGGUGGCAGUA